CUGAGUUCCCAACAGUCGUAAUAUUUUCAGAAAAGAAAGAGGCUGGGGAGCCACGGAAGACACACCCAAGUUCCAAGUCGCUCCGUUAAGUGGUAUGGCUACAACUCUAAGAAGCUGUGCUUAAGUUGAGGAUUGCUAAAUUUGGAAGUCUGGAGGUGAUCCAGGGAAGAAGUGCUCCUUCCCUGCCAGCCCUUCAGGAGGAAGACGCUGUGCAAUCACUGGACAGGCUCUAAGGAAAAGUCACUGCUCCCUCUCGCUCCCAUGGCAAAGCUGGGAAGACACACUCCAUUUGGGGUCAGGCCUGGUUUUCACCUCUGCUCCCUCAGCGGCACCCGAGCACACCCAUUGUCCCUUCAGACGCACACCACAAGCCUGUCCACUUGAGGGCUGCGCUGGCUGCCAUAACUUAGGCUUUGGCCUCACAGACCUGCAGCCGGGCCACACCCGCCAGGUGCUGGAUCUCUUGUGGUCCUUGGACACACUUGUUUCUCACGUCCCUUCGUUGGGCACGGGGCUCCUGCUGCCAACCCUUUACCCCUCAUGGCGGGUAGACCUGCUUCUUCCAGUGCGUUCAUUCCCCACCGGCUCCUGCCUCCGCUCCUUCUAUCUACCUGGGGAGGGCCCCUGAUGGGGAUGGAGUGGAUUCUACUGGUGACAAGGAGGAUGAAGCACAGAAACGCCAUCAGGACGGUCAUCUGGGAGCCACCAUAGGAGGGACCGCCUGGGAGUCACCACGGGAAGGGGCCGCCCGGGAGUCACCACAGGAAGGGGCUGCCUGGCCGCCAGGACCAAAGCCCCCUGCCUGGGUGAGCCAGCCUGGUGGCCUCGUGAGAGCUUCCCGGCAUUUCCAGUCCCUGUUUUAAGGCAAAUUAACAACGGCAAGGGCAACAACAAUGAACUGAAGUCAGUCCCCAUUUUUCUAGUAUCACGUCUGCACAGCAUCAGCAGCACGGAUAAAUAACAAUGCCACACAGGGACAUUUAAUCUCCCUCAACUGACUUUGUAUUUGAGUGGGGCACAGAUGUAAGUGUCCUCAUCACCUUUUCAUGUCCCGGUUUCCUCGUCUAUGAAAUAAGCAUCCCAUAUUGUCUGUUCACCUUAUCUGCUUGGUGAUAUGUUCAUCUGGAGUAGAACUGGGAUUUAAGAUUUUUUAAGGAUGCCAUAGUACAAGGCAUUGGCAUUCUUUCCUUAUUUCCCCCCCACUGUUUUUCCCCUGUGGUCUUCCUAAGGAACUAGCAUCAGUCACUUCGCCCUCUGAGAAAUGAACUGAAAUGCCUGUGAAAUGAGUCCUGGGUGUGGAGGGAGAACUGAAGGUUGCAGAUCCCUGCUCUUCCACAUUUCUCCAUGGGGACAGGACAUGAAGUUUGCAGUUCAUCUCGUAUUGACAUGAAUGGAGGAAUGAGCUUCAAAAAGGAAAUGAGUCAGAGUCUCUGGGUUUGGGAAAAUUCCCGAAGGCUGGCCGGGGGUGAUAAUGACCUCGGGAAAGCCAGGAAAGCCGUGGGCUGCACUUGGCACAGACUUUGCCGACGCCUUCCGACAGGUCUUGUUUGCAUAGAGUCUCAUCCAGCUGAGUUCUGCUUCAACGUAAAAACAUCCCGGGCCAAAAAUCAGACCAAGUCCAUUGAGGCUCUACGUCUUUGCGUGGCAUCUGUUAACAGCAAUCCAUUAGCCAACACCUCUGAGGUCUUGGAAGGCAAGUACCGCAAUUUCUAUUUUUGUAGCUGCUCAAAAAAGGGAGGGUUGCCACUUGUCACACUGUCAGAAAUUAUAGCAUUAUCGUUUCCUGGCUGGCUCAGAAUUCUUGGCUGGGUCUCCUUUUAAGUCUUUUGCCCUCAUUAAGACCACACUUUCAGCUGGAUCACAAGGAGAGCCUCCAUUGCAGGGUAAACUUCAGACUUCCCUGAAGACCAUCAUCUCUCCUUCCAAACUGCAGUGUUCAAGGGAUCACCUUCUGAUUUCUUCCUUAGACUUGCAGCUUUCUCGAACGUGUCCUCCGACAUAUCAUCUGUUUAAUUCCUGUUUUUAAACUUUGUUUAAAGGCAAAAUUUUCCCACCUUGUCCUGAAAAUUGGAGUAAAGUCCUGCUCUCAUCUCCUUUCACCUACUUACAGAGGGAGCAUUUUUAAGAAAAGAAUAAUCAGGUUUUGAAGGAAAAUUCUUCAACCCAGUGGCUUAAACAAUAAAAAAAGAGGAGACACUCCUCUUGAGAUUUACAGAAUGACAAAAAGUAGUUUUAUUCUUUAAAGAAUUACCUAGUAGAACUGAAAGUGCCUCCAGGCUUUGGUAAAUAUAAGCAGUCAUCUCUAAAACAACAGAGAAAUUAAUUCCAUAAAGUUUCCAGGUUCUCAGUGGUAUAAUUCACCAUUGAAGCCAGUAAUCUUGUCCCUAUAAAUCUAAGUCCUUCCCAGUUACCCUGGCCUGAAAAUACCCUUUCCUCCUCUCUGCAUCCCAUCAAGACCAGU
rnacentral:lncRNA from 1 species